rnacentral:misc_RNA from 1 species
UCAAACUUGGUCAUUUAGAGGAAGUAAAAGUCGUAACAAGGUCUCCGUUGGUGAACCAGCGGAGGGAUCAUUAUAGAAGGGUCUUUGCCCUAUAACCACUGUGAACUAUACCUAUCUGUCUGUUGCUCCGGCGGGCGGCCCCUGGGAGGGACCACUGCCCGUUAGGUCGGGUGCCCGCCGGAGGACGCCUAAACUCUUCUGUACAGGUACCGUCUGAGUUAAACAAGAACUAUAAAAACUUUCAACAACGGAUCUCUUGGUUCUGGCAUCGAUGAAGAACGCAGC